rnacentral:lncRNA from 1 species
UGGGAAGCUAUAGCUUUGGGCUCCUCUGAAGGUAGUUUUACAACACACAUUGACAUUUUUGAUGCACGAGGCUUCUAUACCAGGAUGGCUCCCUAAUCUUCCCACUGUGGAUAUUUCCUUGUACCUGAGCUGGUGAGAAGAUGGGAGGGGGCAAGAGAGAUGGAAAGCUGCUGGACUGCGGUAUGCACUCCUGUGAGGACCACUCCACUGAAAAGGAAUGCCCAGUGCUGCCCUUCCUGACCUAUAUCCUUUUAAGUAUAUGGAUGACAACUAGGGUCCAUGGUAGUCUUGAUUCUGGGAAGAUGAGGUGGCCUACAGGACCAAGAGACCAAAGCUGUAUCGAGUGAGUCAGACUAUCUAGUUGGAACCAGAGUUCCCUCUGUUGCCAGUGUCAGUAAGGAAUUCCUCCAUGGGAGUUCCACACUUGAAUAGAGCUAGCUGAUCACAGAAGAGAAGGUCAGAGAGAUGCAUUCAGGCCGGCCUGGAAAAAAGCAAACAUUCAUAUUGGGAACUACCACUGGUGGCGACAUGUUACCGAACUGCAAGCAGUAUCUGGAAGCUAAGAGUCAUCCCUGGUCAACAACUAACAGGACAACAGGGACCUUAAUCCUACAGUUACAAGGACUGCCAACAAGUGACCUUGGAUAAAGACCCUAAGCCCCAGAUGAGAACUGAAACCCUGGCAACACCUUGAUUUCAGUGAGAUCCUAUACAGAGAAUCUAGCCACACUGUGGCCUGGACUUCUGACCUACAAUAACUAUGAGAUAAUAAAUGUGUUCUUUUUAGCCACUAAAUUUGUGAUAAUUUUUUAUGCAGCAUUUAAAAAGUAACACAAUCUGCAUAAUAAAUUCCUACAAAUGAAAUUGCUAGAUCAAGGGGACAUGCACUUAAAAUUUAUAAAUAUAUUACAAAAU